GAUGAACGCUGGCGGCGUGCCUAAUACAUGCAAGUCGAGCGAACAGACGAGGAGCUUGCUCCUCUGACGUUAGCGGCGGACGGGUGAGUAACACGUGGAUAAUCUACCUAUCAGACUGGGAUAUCUUCGGGAAACCGGAGCUAAUACCGGAUAAUAUAUUGAUCCGCAUGGUUCAAUAGUGAAAGACGGUUUUGCUGUCACUUAUAGAUGGAUCCGCGCCGCAUUAGCUAGUUGGUACGGUAACGGCCUAUCAAGGCAACGAGGCGUAGACGAACGGAGAGGCGGGUCGGCCACAUUGGAGCGGAAACACGGACCAGACGCCUACGAGAGGCAGCAGUAGGGAAUCGGCCGCAAUGGGCGAAAGCCUGACGGAGCAACGCCGCGUGAGUGAUGAAGAUGUUGGGAUCGUAAAACUCUGUUAUGAGGGAAGAACAAAUGUGUAAGUAACUAUGCACGUCUUGACGGUACCUAAUCAGAAAGCCACGGCUAACUACGUG
rnacentral:rRNA from 1 species